rnacentral:rRNA from 1 species
UACGAAGGGGGCUAGCGUUGCUCGGAAUCACUGGGCGUAAAGCGCACGUAGGCGGAUCGUUAAGUCAGGGGUGAAAUCCUGGAGCUCAACUCCAGAACUGCCUUUGAUACUGGCGAUCUUGAGUUCGGGAGAGGUGAGUGGAACUGCGAGUGUAGAGGUGAAAUCCGUAGAUAUUCGCAAGAACACCAGUGGCGAAGGCGGCUCACUGGCCCGAUACUGACGCUGAGGAGCGAAAGCAUGGGGAGCGAACAGG